GCGCGCAUAGCUCAGCUGGAUAGAGUGCCUGACUACGAAUCAGUAGGUCGGGGGUUCGAAUCCCUCUGCGCGUACCA
rnacentral:tRNA from 1 species